rnacentral:rRNA from 1 species
AGCGAACGCUGGCGGCAGGCUUAACACAUGCAAGUCGAGCGGGCACUUCGGUGUCAGCGGCAGACGGGUGAGUAACACGUGGGAACGUACACUUCGGUUCGGAAUAACGCUGGGAAACUAGCGCUAAUACCGGAUACGCCCUUUUGGGGAAAGGUUUACUGCGGAAGGUUGGGCCCGCGUCUGAUUAGCUCGUUGGUGGGGUAAUGGCCUACUAAGGCGACGAUCAGCAGCUGGUUUGAGAGGAGGAUCAGCCACACUGAGACUGAGACGCGGCCCAGACUCCUACGGGAGGCAGCAGUGGGGAAUAUUGGACAAUGGGCGCAAGCCUGAACCAGCCAUGCCCCGUAAGUGAUGAAGGUCUUAGAGUUGUAAAGCUCUUUUGUCCGGGACGAUAAUGACGGUACCGGAAGAGUAAGCCCCGGCUAACUUCGUG